UACGGAGGGUGCAAGCGUUAUCCGGAUUCACUGGGUUUAAAGGGUGCGUAGGCGGCCUGAUAAGUAGGGGGUGAAAUCCUGCGGCUUAACCGCAGGGCUGCCUUCUAAACUGUCAGGCUCGAGCACAGUAGAGGCAGGUGGAAUUCCCGGUGUAGCGGUGGAAUGCGUAGAGAUCGGGAAGAACAUCAGUGGCGAAGGCGGCCUGCUGGGCUGUUGCUGACGCUGAGGCACGACAGCGUGGGGAGCAAACAGG
rnacentral:rRNA from 1 species